AAACACCCUCAACUCCCCUCUCCCUGUUGUUCUCUCUGAGAAACACGUGCGGGGCAGGGGGGUUGGACUUGAGCGAUUCCAACGGCGGUGGACAGGUCGAUCUUUUUUGGUCGACUCGCGAAACCGCUGGCGGGCCGCUUGAAAUGCAGGUGCGGCAGGACACAUCUUCUGAGCUAUAAGCAUUACUUAUUUAGUCCCGUUAAACGGAUUAUCUCUAUUGCUGCAGCUAAUAUAAAGGUCGAUUGUUCUUGUGCCCGACUGAUGCAGGAAAAUGAAGGGCGGGUCUUUGUUAAUUCCAAGACGCGUCCUUUGUUCA
rnacentral:misc_RNA from 1 species